rfam:Starkeya novella DSM 506, complete genome.
CCCCUUCCAACCGGGCGGGCAUGCCCCUAUAUUCGUUGUGCCGGCGCAAGCCGGCUAUGGCGAUAAACGGUUGUCGGAAUAAACCCAUCGGACCCGGGGGCAGUACCCGGCGCCUCCACCGGAACCCAUCCUUCAGGGUGGGCUGCGGCGGGGGCGAAACAGGAUCGACGGGGGCGUAAAGGGCAUUCUUUCGCUCGGCAUGGUACCGCCGUCAUCGGACCAAACUUAUAGUUGCCAACGACAACUAUGCUCCGGUUGCUCAGGCCGCGUGAGCGGUUUGAUCUACGGAAAAUAAGUCCUAGCGGGUAGCACCGUCGGGCGGGGUUCGGAGGCACCUGGCAACAGAAGCCUCCACU